rnacentral:rRNA from 1 species
AAGGUAGCUAAUACUGCACAUUGCCUUCGGGAAAAGCGGGGACCUUCGGGCCUCGCAAUUAUUAGAGCGGCCGAUAUUGGAUUAGCUAGUUGGCAGGGGUAAUGUCACUGGCAUGAUGAUCUCCGUAGCUGGUUUGAGAGGAUGACCAGCCACACUGGGACUGGAGAUUACGGCCCAGACUCCUACGGGAGGCAGCAGUGGGGAAUUUUGGACAAUGGGGGUCCCGAUCCAGCCAUCCGUGUGUGCGAUGAAGGCCUUCGGGCUGUAAAGCACUUUUGGCAGGAAGAGAAAGAAACGGCACGGGAUAACACCCGUGCAACUGACGGUACCUGCAGAAUAAGCAUCGGCUAAUCCGCUGUGCCGCAGCCGCGGCAAUACGUAGGUGCAAGCGUUAACGAAUGCUACUGGCGUAAAAGCGUGCGGUAUCGGAAAGAAAGAUGUGAAAUCCCAGAGCUUAACUUUAAAUCGGUUUUUAACUACCGAGCUAGAGUGUGUCAGAGGAGGUGAAUUCUAUAGCAGUGGGAAUGCGUAGAUAUGCGAGAACACCGAUGGCGAAGGCAGCCUCCUGGGAUAACACUGACGUCAUGCACGAAAGCGGGGAGCAAAAACAGGGACAGGGAUACUCCUGGUAGUCCGCCCAAAUGAUGUCAACUAGCUGUUGGGGCCUUCGGGCCUUUGGUAGCGCAGCUAACGCGGGUUGACCGCUCUGGGGAGUACGGUCGCAAGAUUAAAAACUCAAAGGAAUUGGACGGGACCCGCACAAGCGGUGGAUGAUGUGAUUAUCUGAUGCAACGGAAAACCCAGUACUACCUUACACAGCCUGAACCCAUGAUUGGAGUGUCAAAGAGAACCGAACACAGGUGCUGCAUGGCUGUCGUCAGCUCGUGUCGAGAUGCUGGGUUAAGUCCUGCAACGGAGCGCAACCCUUGUCAUUAGUUGUUGUUUGAGGCGCACUCUAAUGAGAUCAUGGGUGACAAACCGGAGGAAGGGUGUGGAUACGUCAAGUCCCCGCGGUCUCUUGCGGUGGUGGGUUUCACACGUCAUACAAUGGUCGGGACAGAGGGUCGCCAACCGUUGAGGGAAGCCAAUCCUAGAAAACCUGACGUCUGGAUCGCAGUCUGCAAACCGAUCAAAGGAAGUCGGAAUCGCUGGCAAUCGCGGAUCAGCAUGUCGCGUGAACAUGUUCCCGGGUCUUGUACACACCGCCCGUCACACCAUGGAGUGGGUUUACCAGAAGUAGUUAGCCUAACCGCAAGGAGGCGAUUACCACGGUAGGAUUCAUAUCAAAGAAGUCGUACGCGUAGUUU